GUGCUCGCUUCGGCAGCACAUAUACUUAAAAAAAAAAUGGAACGAUACAGAGAAGAUUAGCAUGGCCCCUGGGCAAGGAUGACACGCAAAUUCGUGAAGCGUUCCAUAUUUAA
rnacentral:snRNA from 1 species